CCGGGUCUCAGGAUCCAGUCGCGGUUCGUUCUUCGUCCGGGUCGUGUCUGGGUCUCGCUCCUGUGUCUUUGUGAUUAUUUGUGGUUCAUUGCUGGGUUAUUGUCGUUGAUCGUAGCUCUGCGAAGAUCUUCUGUUAAAAGGGAGUUACGCCAAAGGUGGGAGGAAGCAGUACCGACGCAUACCGGCGUGGCACUCUGUCACGUAUGGUAGCACUCGCGAAAAACCGCGGCUCUCACCCUUCCUCAAGCCGGCGUUUCCGCUUCCCUUGAGUCCACCGGCGGCACAAAGCCCUCGACGCUUCCCAGAACACCGGCGAGAUGCCCGGAAACUUCGUCUUCACGCAGGACAAUCCCGAUAACCUGAACUGCGCAGGGGAACCCGAUGUCCUGGAACCGCACAUGCGCGACACAAUCAAGGAGAAUACAUCCUUAUCUGGAUCUAUAACAUGAUCGACGAAGCAGCCAGAGUGGACUUCGAAUUCUUCCUAAAAGACGGAUGAUUUUGUGCAAG